CCUACGGGGGGCAGCAGUGGGGAAUAUUGGGCAAUGGGCGCAAGCCUGACCCAGCCACGCCGCGUGAAGGAAGAAGGCCCUCGGGUUGUAAACUUCCUUUCUCAGGGACGAAGAAAGUGACGGUACCUGAGGAAUAAGCCACGGCUAACUACGUGCCAGCAGCCGCGGGAAGACGUAGGUGGCAAGCGUUAUCCGGAUUUACUGGGUGUAAAGGGCGUGUAGGCGGGACUGCAAGUCAGAUGUGAAAACCACGGGCUCAACCUGUGGCCUGCAUUUGAAACUGGAGUUCUUGAGUACUGGGGAGGCAGACGGAAUUCCUGGUGUAGCGGUGAAAUGCGUAGAUAUUAGGAGGAACACCGGUGGCGAAGGCGGUCUGCUGGACAGCAACUGACGCUGAGGCGCGAAAGCGUGGGGAGCAAACAGGAUUAGAUACCCUUGUAGUC
rnacentral:rRNA from 1 species